CCCCAAGCAGAAGCGAAAUAGAGAAAAAUAAGGGUAAAAAUGCUCUAUCCUGGAUGCAAUUUUUGCUUUUUAUUUACUUAUUUAAUACUCAUAAAUAUGAAAGGGGAAACAUACUAAAAUUGGUCAUCGCAUAGGCAAUAUGUAUUGAAUUUAUUUCGUGAUAUUCCUUACUGUGAAAGUAAAAGCUAGGGAUUUUAGAAAAUAUUUGACUUUAAUAGUGCUUGAUGAUUUACACAGCCGACUUUAAUAGUGCUUAAUGGUUUUCACAGGGGGGUGCGUUUGCAAGUGAAAAUAUGUGGAUAUGAUUUUUAAAACGAAGGUCCUGUGUCGCGGCAGGCGUUGGCUUAAUAAAGAACCAUCACUGCUAUGGUCCUGGACCCAUAUUUACUAAAGUUCGUAGACGUAAACGUAAACGUAGGAUUUACGUCUGACUUAAGAUUAGAGUUACGUACUCAUAAAAUGGUAUUCACAAAACCGUUCGUAGCCGCAAACGUAACUUACGAUGUACGAUUGCACUUACGCGUGCGCAGUGGCUAUUUUCACUUCGAAGCGUAAAAAGUUUGAAUUUGCUCAUUUACUUUGAAUUCCCUGCGCUACCGCCGCAUUAUGACGAAAAAGAACACAGAACUUUGUGAGAAAGCAACGAAUUUCAACGUAUACGUAUGCCUGCUAACGGCAUGUCGAUCAACUGUACCGUUAUUCAGUGUUGUUUACAAAUCCAAAUGGAAGGUUCAUCAAAUUUAACGCAUUUCACUUGUGGAGGGGGAUCUGCGAUGCUGUAGGUGUUCAAAAAGAAGUCGGCAUGGACUGACAAGGUCAUAAAGGUGGUCAAGAAAUAAAUUGCCAUCAGACAGCAGCAUUCCUUGAUUUAGAUGCAUUUCUCUUCAUGUCCUCUCCUGAAAGAUUUUCCAUGAUGCCUCAGGGUUAGGAUUGGGAUGCAAGAUGUACAGUACAUAUAUAUGAUGUCUAUGGGUACAUUGCUGUAAUGGCCUGAAAAAUCUUUUGCGAAACCGAGAAAUGUUCAUCUUCCAUUGCCUUGAUUGUGUAAAAGGACGAGCAGAGGAAUGAUUCAAAAAUAUAUGGCAGGAUUGAGAAUCUAACCCAUGACCCGUAGUCUGGUACUCUACCCACUGAUCAAUCCAUGCUGAUGGUCCAUCUGCUACAUUGAUGUCAUCUUAUAUAUUUAUUUAUUCAUUUAUAUCAUAUGGACAUUUAAAAAUUGACAGUAAAAUAAAAAAAAGUUUGAUAUUCAGCAAAAUAAAAUUUGUUACAAUACAUGUUUAAGAAAUUAAGUACAUGUACAUGCAUUGUUAUGCAUAAAAUUAUGUACAUGUAAUUAUAUUUGUUAAUAGAUAACUUUUUAGAUGAAUUUUCAUGUUGUUAUUGAUAUUGACAUGUACAUGUAUUACUUCCAUUUCUAGAAUGAUUUUAACAUCUUGAUAUUAAAAAGAUGACAUAAUAAAUAAAUCUUAAAUAUUUGUCAACAAA